rnacentral:lncRNA from 1 species
UCCCUGGGCACCUUUCUCUCAUCCGUUUUCAUAGCUUUUUAGCUUGAUCUUUUUUUUUUUUUUGCUUUCAGACCCUGAGUUUAACAAGGGCUACUCAUGAAGGAGAGAGUGUAACACCAUCCUUUGGAGCACAAGGAACUCAGCAGUGAAUGCAUUAGGAAAGAACAUGACUUCUCUUCCAGCAGCCCUGGGAGGGGCAGAUCCCUAUGAGCCCCCCCCUCCCAUAAUCCACUGCAUUGGUAUAGUCUUGUGUGGACCCUGUGCAAGAAACCAAAGCUGUUGUGAGUUCUACAGCGGCACAUUUGAGACAUCCAAGUUGGAAGGAACCCAAUCAGAGAUGGCAUUAUUAUAUUCUGCUAAUGGUAGGGGAAAUGCAGUUUUGGCUUGGGAACUGCGAUAUGAACACAUCGAUGAUCCUGGCAAGCUCUGCAGCUCAGUGAGAGAGAGACAGGAGGAAGAACGGAGAGAAGAGAAUCUAUAUGAGCUUCCUUUCCCCAGAGGACACCAUGUUUCAAGGAGGUUUGUGGCUGACAGCAACACUGUUGCUCUGAACUAUCAACCUGAGGGGUGGUGAGGACCUCCGAGGAUAACAAUGGCUAUCACUGCAACAUUGCUUGUUGCCCUUGAUGAUGAUGGCAAAAAUCCUGUGCUUCAGAAGGUAGCAGGACUUCACUAACGCCUCAGGAUUGUAUUUAGAGACACAGAAGGAACCCAAAUCCCAUCUGGCUGAGACUAA